UGGCUCAACCAUAGAACUGCAUCCAAAACUGAGGGGCUAGAGUCUGGGAGGGGAAGAUGGAAUUAGUGGUGUAGGGGUAAAAUCCGUAGAGAUCACUAGGAAUACCAAAAGCGAAGGCGAUCUUCUGGAACAGUACUGACGCUGAGGCGCGAAAGCGUGGGGAGCAAACAGGAUUAGAUACCCUGGUAGUCCACGCCCUAAACUAUGAAUGUUAGUCGUCGGGAGGCUCGUCCUCUCGGUGAUGCAGCUAACGCAUUAAACAUUCCGCCUGGGGAGUACGGUCGCAAGAUUAAAACUCAAAGGAAUAGACGGGGACCCGCACAAGUGGUGGAGCAUGUGGUUUAAUUCGAAGAUACGCGAAGAACCUUACCUGGCCUUGACAUUGAUAGAAUCUGCUAGAGAUAGCGGAGUGCCCUUCGGGGAGCUUGAAAACAGGUGCUGCACGGCUGUCGUCAGCUCGUGUCGUGAGAUGUUGGGUUAAGUCCCGCAACGAGCGCAACCCUCGUCACUAGUUACUAACGGUUCGGCCGAGGACUCUAGUGAGACUGCCUUCGUAAGGAGGAGGAAGGUGAGGACGACGUCAAGUCAUCAUGGCCCUUACGGCCAGGGCGACACACGUGCUACAAUGGGAUGUACAAUGAGACGCAAUACCGCGAGGUGGAGCAAAUCUAUAAAGCAUCUCUCAGUUCGGAUUGUAGUCUGCAACUCGACUACAUGAAGCUGGAAU
rnacentral:rRNA from 1 species